GCAUUUUCGUAGAUAGACUCAGACGCCGGCAUGAUCUCUAGUGACGUCUUAAAGCCAGGUGACUGAGGAGAUCCGUUUAGUAACUUGGAAAUUGCCUGAGCAGAGCUUUUCUGAGGUUUAUGACAUAAGCCCCGGUUCAAGUGGUACUUGUCUGGGAUGGAGCAGAGAGAAAUCACACACACAAUGGCCACUGGCAGCAAAGAGACCCCAAGCCAAACAUCAUCUGACUUUCUCCUUCCUUGUGGCUGGGAAUUUACCAGAAGCAGGCGUGCUGGGGAAGCGGUGUGGAUGCAUCUAUCCUGUCUUCACGCGUCUUGGCACAGAGCCCCGCCCACAAUUGUGGGCAGCGGAUUUGAAGAGGAUGAACCUUCAGACAUAGAGCAAGUGAAGAAUUAAGUACCAGGUAAGAUCAGAAGGGGUGGGGGCAAGCUACCGGCUUUCCGUUUGCGUGGAAGCUGCCUUUCCUUCACAGCUCACUCAGCUCCAGUGCU
rnacentral:lncRNA from 1 species